AACGAACGCUGGCGGCAGGCUUAACACAUGCAAGUCGAACGCACCUUUCGGGGUGAGUGGCCGACGGGUGAGUAACGCGUGGGAAUCUACCCUUCUCUACGGGAUAGCUCCGGGAAACUGGAAUUAAUACCGUAUACGUCCUGAGGGAGAAAGAUUUAUCGGGGAAGGAUGAGCCCGCGUUGGAUUAGCUAGUUGGUGGGGUAAAGGCCUACCAAGGCGACGAUCCAUAGCUGGUCUAAGAGGAUGAUCAGCCACAUUGGGACUGAGACACGGCCCAAACUCCUACGGGAGGCAGCAGUGGGGAAUAUUGGACAAUGGGCGCAAGCCUGAUCCAGCCAUGCCGCGUGAGAGAUGAAGGCCCUAGGGUUGUAAAGCUCUUUCAGUGGGGACGAUAAUGACGGUACCCACAGAAGAAGCCCCGGCUAACUUCGUG
rnacentral:rRNA from 1 species